rnacentral:rRNA from 1 species
ACGAACGCUGGCGGCGUGCCUAACACAUGCAAGUCGAACGGGACUUGCCCCUUCGGGGACAAGUUUAGUGGCGGACGGGUGAGUAACGCGUGAGCAACCUACCUUUCAGUGGGGGACAACAGUUGGAAACGACUGCUAAUACCGCAUAACACUUAUUUAGGGCAUCUUAAAUAAGUCAAAGAUUUAUUGCUGAAAGAUGGGCUCGCGUCUGAUUAGCUAGUUGGUGGGGUAACGGCCCACCAAGGCGACGAUCAGUAGCCGGACUGAGAGGUUGAACGGCCACAUUGGGACUGAGAUACGGCCCAGACUCCUACGGGAGGCAGCAGUGGGGAAUAUUGGGCAAUGGGGGAAACCCUGACCCAGCAACGCCGCGUGAAGGAAGAAGGCCUUCGGGUUGUAAACUUCUUUUACCAGGGACGAAGGACGUGACGGUACCUGGAGAAAAAGCCACGGCUAACUACGUGCCAGCAGCCGCGGUAAUACGUAGGUGGCAAGCGUUGUCCGGAUUUACUGGGUGUAAAGGGCGUGUAGGCGGAGCUGCAAGUCAGAUGUGAAAUCUCCGGGCUUAACCCGGAAACUGCAUUUGAAACUGUAGCCCUUGAGUAUCGGAGAGGCAAGCGGAAUUCCUAGUGUAGCGGUGAAAUGCGUAGAUAUUAGGAGGAACACCAGUGGCGAAGGCGGCUUGCUGGACGACAACUGACGCUGAGGCGCGAAAGCGUGGGGAGCAAACAGGAUUAGAUACCCUGGUAGUCCACGCUGUAAACGAUGAAUACUAGGUGUGGGGGGACUGACCCCUUCCGUGCCGCAGUUAACACAAUAAGUAUUCCACCUGGGGAGUACGACCGCAAGGUUGAAACUCAAAGGAAUUGACGGGGGCCCGCACAAGCAGUGGAUUAUGUGGUUUAAUUCGACGCAACGCGAAGAACCUUACCAGGAUUUGACAUCCCACUAACGAAGUAGAGAUACAUUAGGUACCCUUCGGGGGAAGUGGAGACAGGUGGUGCAUGGUUGUCGUCAGCUCGUGUCGUGAGAUGUUGGGUUAAGUCCCGCAACGAGCGCAACCCCUGUACUUAGUUGCCAGCAUGUAGAGAUGGGAACUCUAAGUAGACUGCCGCGAAUAACGCGGAGGAAGGUGGGGAUGACGUCAAAUCAUCAUGCCCCUUAUGUCCUGGGCUACACACGUAAUACAAUGGCGUUUAACAAAGGGAAGCGAAGCCGCGAGGUGGAGCAAAUCCCGAAAAGGCGUCUCAGUUCGGAUUGCAGGCUGCAACUCGCCUGCAUGAAGCUGGAAUUGCUAGUAAUCGUGGAUCAGCAUGCCACGGUGAAUACGUUCCCGGGCCUUGUACACACCGCCCGUCACACCAUGAGAGUCGGGAACACCCGAAGUCCGUAGUCUAACCCGCAAGGGAGGGCGCGGCCGAAGGUGGGUCUGAUAAUUGGGGUG